rnacentral:rRNA from 1 species
AUUGAACGCUGGCGGCAUGCCUAACACAUGCAAGUCGAACGGUAACAGGGCGCAUGGUGCUGAAUUGAGGCGAACAGGGGAGUAAAGUACCGAAACGUGCGCAGUCGUGGGGGGUAAAACGUCCAAAUACUGGCUAAUAUCCCACACGCGCCCUGGAUGAGAGCGGGGGAGCGCAUGGCAUCGCGCGAUUUGAGGGGCGGAUGUCAGAUUAGGUAGAUGGUGGGGUAAAGGCUCCCCAAGACAACGAUCUGUAACUGGUCUGAGAGGACGAGCAGCCACACUGGAACUGAGACACGGUCCAGACUCCUACGGGAGGCAGCAGUGGGGAAUUUUGGACAAUGGGCGCAAGCCUGAUCCAGCAAUGCCGCGUGAAUGAAGAAGGCCUUCGGGUUGUAAACUGCUUUAGGUCGGGAGGAAGGGAAUCAGGUUAAUACCCGGAUCUUAUGACGGUACCGUAAGAAUAAGCACCGGCUAACUUCGUG